rnacentral:rRNA from 1 species
UACAGAGGGUGCAAGCGUUAAUCGGAAUUACUGGGCGUAAAGCGUGCGUAGACGGUUACAUAAGUCAGAUGUGAAAGCCCCGGGCUCAACCUGGGAAUUGCAUUUGAGACUGCGUAGCUAGGGUGCGGAAGAGGGAAGCGGAAUUUCCGGUGUAGCGGUGAAAUGCGUAGAUAUCGGAAGGAACACCAGUGGCGAAAGCGGCUUCCUGGGCCAGCACCGACGUUCAGGCACGAAAGCGUGGGGAGCAAACAGG